rnacentral:lncRNA from 1 species
AACCUACACCACAGCUCAUGGCAAUGCCGGAUCGUUAACCCACUGAGCAGGGGCAGGGACCGAACCCGCAACCUCAUGGUUCCUAGUCGGAUUCGUUAACCACUGCGCCACGACGGGAACUCCUAUUAUAGCUUUUCUAAUGGGUAUAUUCCACAAUAGUAUCUCAUUGUGAUUUUAAUUUGCAUUUCUCUAAAGCCCAAUGAUCCUGAACACAUUUUCAUGUCCUUAUUAGUUAUUUGGAUGUCUCUGGUGAAAUGUCUAUUCAGGCCUUUUGUAUGUUUUUAAAUAAGGUUAUUGUCGAAUUAUGAGAGUUCUUUGUAUACGCUAGAUACAGGUCUUUCAUCAGAUAUAUCAUCUGCAGUAUUUUCUUCUAGCCAGUGGCUUGUUUUUUCUUUCUUUUUUUUUUUCUUUUUAGGGCCAAAUCCAAAGCAUAUGAAAGUUACCAGGCUAGAAGUCGAAUUGGAGCUGUAGCUCCUGGCCUUCACCACAGCCACAGCAAUGGGGUUUCUGAGCCGCAUCUGUGACCUACACCACAGCUGAUGGCAACACCGGAUUCUUUAACCCACUGAGCGAGGCCAGGGAUCGAACCAGCACCCUCAUGGAUACUAGUCAGAUUCAUUACUACUGAGACAUGAUAGGGACUUCCUUCAUUUCCUUUUUGUUUUUCGUCUGAGCCUGCAGCACGUGGAAGUUCCUAGGCCACGGAUCAUUAGUUCACCAUUAAUCUAAGUGUUUUUUUCUGGUCUGUUAAUCUACAUUCCUAUCUUUUAACAAUACUAUGUUCUCUUGAUUACUUUAGGGCUUUCUAGUAAGUUUUGAAAUCUGUAAGUCUUUCAACUUUAUUCUUUUUCAAAAUUGUUUUGGUUCUCCCAGGUCCUUUACAUUUCCAUCAGCUUGUCAACUUCUACAAAGAAGCCUACUAGGGUUUGGGUAAGAAUUACAUUGAAACUAUAUAUCAAUUUGGGAAAAAUUAUCAUCUUACUAAUUACUUAUUGGAGUUCCCUGGCGGUUCAGAGGGUGAAGGAUCUGGCAUUGUCACUGCUGUGGCACAGGUUUGAUCUCUGGCCUGGGAACUUUUGUUUGGCAAAGUGGCCAAACAAAGCAAUUACUUCUUUAAUUUCUUCUUCUUUUUUUUUUUUUUUUCCUGGGAACCUCCUUAUGCUGAGGGUGUGGCCCUGAAAAAAAAAAAAAAGACAAAUUUAGAAAUUAUUAAUUUUGACAAUUAUGUUUAUAUUCUUUGCAAUUGUAUUCUUUCUGAAGCUCAGAUUGUCCCAUCUCUGGACAGUGGGAGUCCCUUCAAGUUGAUUUCUGAAUCCUUUGGCACAGCCUCAGUAGUUUUGUUUUUUGAAGGUUUGGAUGGUUUUCCAUAUUUAAAAUAAGACUUAGUAUAUUUUUUUUCUUCUUUCUUUUUGGCCAUGCCCACUGGCAUGCAGAAAUUCCCAUCUAGGGGUCAGACCUGCGUACCAUAGCAGUGACAAUACCAGAUCCCAAUUUUAUGAUUUUUUUUUUUUCUUUUUUAGGGUUUCACCCUCAGCAUAAGGAAGUUCCCAAGCUAGGGGUUGAAUCAGAGGUGUAGCUGCCAGCCUAGGCCAUAGCCACAGCAACACGGGAAUCUGAGCUGCGUCUUCAACCUACACUACAGCUCAUGGGAAUUCCUGAUCCCUGACCCACUGAGCCAGGCCAGGGAUCGAACCCGCAUUCUCACGUAUACUAGUCGGAUUAGUUUCCACUGCACCACAAUGGGAACUCCCCCAAUUUUAUGAUUUUUUUUUUAAUUUAUUUAUUUUUUUGUCUUUUGUCUUUUGUUGUUGCUAUUUCUUGGGCCGCUCCCGCGGUAUAUGGAGGUUCCCAGGCUAGGGGUCGCAUCGGAGCUGUAGGCACCGGCCUACGCCAGAGCCACAGCAACGUGGGAUCCGAGCCGCGUCUGCAACCUACACCACAGCUCACGGCAACGCCGGAUCGUUAACCCACUGAGCAAGGGCAGGGACCGAACCCGCAACCUCAUGGUUCCUAGUCGGAUUCGUUAACCACUGCGCCACGACGGGAACUCCCAAUUUUAUGAUUUUUUUUUUCUUUUUUGUCUUUUUGCCUUUUCUAGGGCUGCUCCCGUGGCAUAUGGAGGUUCCCAGGCUAAAGGUCAAAUCAGAGCUAUAGCCAUUGGCGUACGCCAGAGCCAAAGCAACGCUGGAUCUGAGCUGCAUCUGCAACCUACACCACAGCUUGCGGCAAGGCCGGAUCCUUAACCCACUGAGCAAGGCCAGGGAUCGAACCCACAACCUCAUGAUUCCUAGUCGGAUUCAUUAACCACUGAGCCACGAUGGAAACUCCAACCCAAUUUUAUUAUUUUGAUGUUAUUUUUUUUUAAUUUUUUUAAUUUUUUUUUGUCUUUUGUUGUUGUUGUUGUUGUUGUUGCUAUCUCUUGGGCCGCUUCCGCGGCAUAUGGAGGUUCCCAGGCUAGGGGUUGAAUCGGAGCUGUAGCCACCGGCCUACGCCAGAGCCACAGCAACGCGGGAUCCGAGGCACGUCUGCAACCUACACCACAGCUCACGGCAACGCCGGAUUGUUAACCCACUGAGCAAGGGCAGGGACCGAACCCGCAACCUCAUGGUUCCUAGUCGGAUUCGUUAACCACUGCGCCACGACGGGAACUCCCUGAUGUUAUGUUUUUAAAGGUGCUCAAUAAAACUUCAAAUCUCAAAAUCAGAAGAUCACAAAUUUAAGGUGUGCAGUAAAACAACCCCAGUGGUCUUUGAUAGUAGCUUCCUUGCUUACUGGAAUGAAUGUGCCUUGGACAUGUUGCCAUUGUGUCUUUGGAAUAUAUUCCUUGAAGUAGAACUGUUAGAUUGAAGGGUAAAAGCAUAUGCAAUUUUGCUAAAUAGUGCAAAAGGAGUUAUGCUGUUUUGCAUUUCCACAAUAUAUGGCAGCCUUUUUACCACAAUUUCUUCAAUGGUUUGUGUUAAGCCUUUGGAUUUUUGCUAGUCUAGUGGAUCAGAAAUGGUAUCUCUAAGUAGUUUUAAUUUUAGCUUUUUUUUUUUUUUUUAUGGCCACACCCUUGGCAUAUGGAAGUUCGCAGGCCAGGGAUUGAAUCUGAGCCUCAGCUGUGACUUACACCGCAGCUGCGGCAAUGCUGGAUUCUUUUUUUUUUUUUUUUUUUUGUCUUUUUGUCUUUUGUUGUUGCUAUUUCUUGGGCCGCUCCCGCGGCAUAUGGAGGUUCCCAGGCUAGGGGUUGAAUCGGAGCUGUAGCCACCGGCCUAUGCCAGAGCCACAGCAACGCGGGAUCCGAGCCGCGUCUGCAACCUACACCACAGCUCACGGCAACGCCGGAUCGUUAACCCACUGAGCAAGGGCAGGGACCGAACCCGAGACCUCAUGGUUCCUAGUCGGAUUCGUUAACCACUGCGCCACGACGGGAACUCCCAAUGCUGGAUUCUUUUAACCCACAAUUCUGGGCCCAGGAUUGAACCGUGCCUCCACAGUGACCCAAGCUACUGUAGUGGGUUUCUUAACCCAGCAUGCAACAGUGGGAACUCCUAAUUUUGGUAUAUUUUUUUGUUUAACAGCACAUUUACUAAGUCAAUGGUAGUGAGUUUAUAUUAACAUAUAAAGAAAGAAAUUUGUCAUUAGACAUUGAAAAUUUAAUGAGUUGGCUCUGAACCUCAAGCUGCAGGUUAUUUACUUAGAUUUUUAGUGAGGAAUAAGAUGGAUUUAUUUUGUUUUGUUUUACUUUUUUAGGGCUGCAUUCUGUGGCAUAUGGAAGUUCCAAGGCUAGGGGUCUAAUGGGACCUGCAGCUGCCAACCUAUGUCAAAGCCACAGUAAUGUCAGACCCGAGCUGGGUCUGCGACUUAUACCACAGCUCACGGCAACACCAGAUCCUUUAACCCACCAAGUGAGGCCAGGGAUUGAACCCACAUCCUCAUGGAUACUAGUCGGAUUCUUAAUCCACUGAGCUACAACAGGAACUCCCUGUUUGUUCUUUGUUUGGGGUUUUUUUGUGUGUUUUUUGCCUCACCCGCAGCGUACAGAAAUUCCAGGGCCAGGGAUUGAACCACCAUAGCAAUGAUUUGAGUCACUGCAGUGACAAUGAUGAUUGUUAAGCCGCUGUGCCAUCAGGGAAACUCCUAUGAUGAACUUGUUACGACAACAACCACGUUAAUAAAAUAUUCAAUUAAAAAAUAAGGAUUUUUUAUCCUUAGCAUGGUGCAGUAAAUAUCAACUCUGGUCUCAUACUUGGAAAAUGCUUUAUAAUCAACAGAUAACUUUUAUAGUCAUUAUCUAAUUUGACUGUCAUGAUUAUUCCUGAGAGAUAGGGCAGAUACUAUGCCUAUUUUGUAGAAGGGGAAACUUAUAUUUUAUGUUGUGAGCCACACGGGAAGUCCAAGGGGAAACUUAUAUUUUAAAAGAUUGAGAUUUUCCAGUUUGACCCAGCAAAUGACAGAGCUGGGUUUAAAUUUUAAACUUCGAUGCACCUAGGUAUAAAUUCUAUGCUUUCUCUUCCUGGUAUUUGCUAAAGGAUGCCUGACCUGUAUUACCCAGGAGGUGGCAGUAUUCUGUUUAUGUUCUUUGGAAUUUACUUUCCCAUUGGAGAGUCUUUAAAGAAAUUGAAAACUAUUCUUUCAGCUAACAUUCUUGAGCAUAAAUUCUGUUUAGGUGUUAAAGAUAAAAGAUUAAUAAAGUUGGCACCUGCAUCCUAGGAGCUCACCAUCUGAGUGCAAGACCUUGGGCACUAGGGUUAAAAGCCUACAAAAAUUUUGUACAAAAUGCUACUGGGAUACAGAUUUAUAAUGAGCUUUUUGAGGUAGUGUCUUUUUAUGUGAUAAUGGGGUAUGUGAUAAUUUUAUCUAGUACACAGAUGAUAGACCUGAGUAAAUUUAAGCUGUCUGAUUUCCUAAUGACCAAAAAAAAAAAAAAAAAAAAAAA